AUAGAACGCUGGCGGCAGGCUUAACACAUGCAAGUCGAGCGGGGUGAUGGUGCUCGCACUAUCACUUAGCGGCGGACGGGUGAGUAAUGCUUAGGAAUCUGCCUAUUAGUGGGGGACAACAUCUCGAAAGGGAUGCUAAUACCGCAUACGUCCUACGGGAGAAAGCAGGGGAUCACUUGUGACCUUGCGCUAAUAGAUGAGCCUAAGUCGGAUUAGCUAGUUGGUGGGGUAAAGGCCUACCAAGGCGACGAUCUGUAGCGGGUCUGAGAGGAUGAUCCGCCACACUGGGACUGAGACACGGCCCAGACUCCUACGGGAGGCAGCAGUGGGGAGUAUUGGACAAUGGGGGGAACCCUGAUCCAGCCAUGCCGCGUGUGUGAAGAAGGCCUUAUGGUUGUAAAGCACUUUAAGCGAGGAGGAGGCUCUUUUGGUUAAUACCCAAGAUGAGUGGACGUUACUCGCAGAAUAAGCACCGGCUAACUCUGUGCCAGCAGCCGCCGCCC
rnacentral:rRNA from 1 species